GGAAUACGAAGGGAGAAUGAAACAAAACUGCUCCGCUUAGGGAACUUGGAAAGGAAAUUGAAAAGGCAAGGCACAGGCUGGAAGAAAAUAUUUGAAAAAGAUUUAUGUGAACUUCUUUCUGGAUUAUACAAAAUAUUUUUAGAUAUUCUUACAACUCUAAAAUAAGAUAACUCCUUAAAAAUCUAAAUUCUACCAAAGGAGAGAUAAAGAUGACGAAUACAUUCAAAGAUGCUGAAAAUCACUUAUUUAUUAUUAGGAAGUUACAAGCUAAAGCAUAAUGAGAUACCACUACAACCUACUAAACUGACUAAAAUUAAUCAGACUAACCAGGUGUUGGCAAGAAACAGGGACACUGAGACUCUCACACUGCUGGAAGGAAUGUAAAAUGCUAAAACUUCUUUGGAAAUGAGUUCAGUAACUUUUUAAACAGUUGAAAAUAGACCUAUCAUGCAAACCAGCAAUCCCACUUCCAGGUAUUUAUACAAGGAAAAUGACAACAUAUGCCCACAUAAAGACUUGUGCACAAAUGACCGUAGCAGCUUUGUGAUAAUUGCUAAAAACUAGAAACUUGUCAAGUGUCCAACAGCUAAGGAAAUAGAGACAAACUACAUAAGUUGCUGAAAAAUCACAGCAAAUAAUUAGCUGAGGAAGAGACUCAAAUCUAUCAGAACUGCUUGACUUUUGAUCCUGAGCUUAUGCGCAUCCAGUGGGCAAGUGAGGGUGCAUGGGUUUGUGAAGACUCCAGCAGUAUGAUUGGGGACACAGGGUCUCCCUAUGUUGCCCAGGCUGGUAUCGAACUCUGUUGCCCAGGCUGGUAUUGAACUCCUGCGCUCAAGUGAUCCUCCUGCCUCAGCCUCCCAAAAUGCUGGGAUUACAGGUGUGAACCACUCUACCCAGCCCCUCCUUGCUCAUUCGUAAUGAAACAACGCUUUGUAAACCGUGAAAGUGCUAUAUAAAGAUAUCUUUAAAAUACCAAAGAAGUCCCUGUAAUUAGAUAUUCUAAUGCUAGCUACUGUAACAAAUAAACCUCAGUAUGACAGUGGCUUACUCCUGUAGAAGUUUACUUCUUGUUUGCAAAUAAAUCCCGUACACUU
rnacentral:lncRNA from 10 species